AGUGUAGGUGGCUAUGUAAGUCGGAUGUGAAAUCCCCGGGCUCAACCUGGGAACUGCAUUCGAUACUGCAUGGCUAGAGUCUGAUAGAGGGAAGUGGAAUUCCAGGUGUAGCGGUGAAAUGCGUAGAUAUCUGGAAGAGCACCAGUGGCGAAGGCGGCUUCCUGGAUCAAGACUGACACUGAGGCUCGAAAGCGUGGGGAGCAAACAGGAUUAGAUACCCUGGUAGUCCACGCCCUAAACUAUGUCAACUAGACGUUGGGUUCUUUAAUGAACUUAGUGUCGAAGCUAACGCGUUAAGUUGACCGCCUGGGGAGUACGGCCGCAAGGUUGAA
rnacentral:rRNA from 1 species